UACGUAGGAUGCAAGCGUUGUCCGGAUUUACUGGGCGUAAAGCGCGCGCAGGCGGUCUUGUAAGUAUGGCGUGAAAUCUCCCUGCUCAACGGGGAGGGUGCGUUGUAGACUGCAGGACUUGAGGUCGGUAGAGGGGGGUGGAAUUGCUGGUGUAGCGGUGAAAUGCGUAGAGAUCAGCAGGAACACCCGUGGCGAAGGCGGCCCCCUGGGCCGUACCUGACGCUGAGGCGCGAAGGCUAGGGGAGCGACCCGG
rnacentral:rRNA from 1 species